CAACAAAGGGAUGAUGGACUUAGUUGAUGGUCAUUGCUACCCUCCCACUAGAAUAUCAGCAGAGAUGAUGCCUGUUUUGUUUACCACCCACAACUAGGUCAGUUCCUGGGACAUAAACGUGCUGACAACUUUAUGUAUUUGUUACUCUGAAGUAACCAUGACAAUGUCUACAUCAGAAUUUACAGAUGUCGGGGUCCUCCCCUCAAUCUGCUGAACUGAUUUAUCUGGUGCCCAGGAAGUGGAUUUUCACAAAGCACAAGUAAUCCAAACGUGUGCCUCUAGUUAAGAACCAUGGCCAGAAGCAAAGGACCUCAGAAGCAAAAUGCAUACCUAGUGGAUGGAUCUUGGUUUCUAAAUGUCACAGCCCCGAGAAAAUGAACCCUGUCCACCAGGAACCACGAUCUUGGACUUCUCCCCUCCAGAACUGUGAGACAAUAAAUUUGUUUUCUGAGCCGCCCAAUUUAUGACACUUUGUUGUGGCAGUCCUAGCAAACUCAUACAUUAUCCUAACCAACAGAAGUCUGGCUGGAGUAACCUCAGCUUAAUACAGGACAAUAUUCUUACCAUCCAGA